UGAAAAUAAAAUAAAUUUAUAUUAAUCUAAUAUUUAUGGAUGUUGUAAGUCACAUAAUAAAGUAAUCUUUCAAUGUCACCAAAAAUUGUCUUGAUUUUUCUUUUAUUCUUCAAAAUAUAUUAGGUCACUAUAGUUCUUUUUUCGUUGGACUACUAUAAUUAUAUGGAUAAGGAGAGGUUUACAAGAUUUACACGUAUAAUCUAUCACAAUUAUAAGGUGUUACUCAUUUUUUUCCUCUCUACACUUUUAAACAUGUUUAAUUAAGGUAUCGUAGAAAACGAAGGUUGUCUCCAAUGACACUUGGAUCUUGAGGGUCUUUGGUUUUUGAGCUUCAACAGGGUCAGGUCUCUCUCUUCAGGAACAUUAGGUCCUUCCUCCAAGAAUACCACUUGCCUUGUAGUUGCCUAGUUUGGGUACAAAUGAACAUACUACACUUAAUUAACAAUACUACUUUAUUGAUAUGCAAAACACAAGUAUAAAUAAUUCAUUGAGUGUUUUUGCGGUGUACUUUAUUCCAUGUGUUCAUCUCAGAGUUCCCCAGUAGCAAGCCGUUUGAAUUUGGCAAAUGCAGAACCAAAUUCUGAGGAUAUUUUUUGUAGAGGAAAAAGAUUAUAUGGUUUUAGUCUGAUCAAUGUAUAACCUUUUUAUCUUGUCAUGGAGAGAACUGAAAGUUAUGACAAGAACUGUGGUAUAACACCUUUUGUCAUAAGAGUGCUUUAAGAAAAUAAAAUAGAAAGUAUUGAGAAAGGGUUAUAGUAGAGAGUUGAUAUAAGGGAUUGAUUAAAUUUGUGUAAGUAUUUUAUCAUCAUUCUGUACAUUUUUUUAGUUUAUUUAAUAGAGGUUUGAUCAAGUUAUUUCUUCAAUUACUUUCCCAAAACAAAGUUAUUUCUUCAGUCGCGAGUUAGAUAUAAAUCAUGAAUUCUAAUCAAUAUAUAAGCUGCCCUCAGCUUCAAUACGACAGAAUCAUAUAAAAAAUAUAAAUUGUUUUUCAGAAGGUCUUCACCAACUACUUUUAUUCAAACUAUUUCUCAUAUGUGUUUUACUGGUAUCCUAGAAUGUGCCACAUGAUCAAGGAUGUGUUUGUAAUCUUUUUCUUAAAAAUGAGUUAUAUUAAUUUUAACUUUUUCUCUUGAUAUCUGUACUUGUAAUGAGAUAAUAUACAUUAAUUCCUUUUUUAUCUCACCAUUCUAAUGACUUACACUUUUUGUUUUUCAUGGAUUUUUAUUUAAGUACAAGUUGACACUUUUCAAUUAAAAUGAUGUCUGAAGCCAAUCUGUAAGUUAUUUUCAUUGAUAUCCUUAUUUGGAUUUAAAAAAUGAUUCUUACUUCCAAGGUGCAUGGUUCCAAACGCAGUAUUAAUAGGCUCUUUCGACCAAAACUUCAGAGUAACUAUAAUCCUAUUUCAGAUAGCAGUGUUCUAAUCUUUUUCAACAACCAAUACCAACAUCACAAGCAUGGCAAUGCAUGCAUCUGGCAUCCUUUUGGUUGUUCUUUAUUCUCUGUUGAGGUUUGCAUUGUCGGAUAUCAAUUUUGUAAAAUAUGAUUUUCGGCAACCAGGCUUGAAAAUGGAUGGAGCUUAUGUGAGGCCGAAUGGCAUACUUACCUUGACAAAUGAUUCUGCAAAAAUCUUUGGCCAUGCAUUCUAUCCAUCUCCUUUGCCAUUCAAAUCUAGCAAAAACAAAUCCAUUGUUGCAACCUUUAGCACUACCUUUGUGUUUUCCAUAGUUCCUAAGUACCCAGAUCUUGGAGGAC
rnacentral:lncRNA from 1 species